rnacentral:snRNA from 1 species
AUACUCUGGUUUCUCUUCAGAUCAUAGAAAUCUUUCGCCUUUUUCUAAAUAUUUCUGUGGAGAGAAACAAAUCUGAAUCUUGACCUAAAUUUUUGAGGCCUUUCAUCUGUAGGGCU